AAUGAACGUUGGCGGCGUGGAUUAGGCAUGCAAGUCGAGCGCGAAACGGUCUUCGGACUGAGGACAGCGGCGAACGGGGUAGGAAUACCUCGGUGACGUACCCCCGGGUCGGGGAUAGCGGCGGGAAACUGCCGGUAAUACCCGAUACUCUGCCUUGAUUUUAGUUUGGGGCAGCAAAGGUGUGAUUCCGUCUGGGGAGCGGCCGAGGCCGUAUUAGCUAGUUGGUAAGGUAACGGCUUACCAAGGCGAUGAUGCGUAGGGGGUGUGAGAGCAUGGCCCCCACCACUGGGACUGAGACACUGGCCAGACACCUACGGGUGGCUGCAGUCGAGAAUCUUCGGCAAUGGGCGCAAGCCUGACCGAGCGACGCCGCGUGCGGGAUGAAGGUCUUCGGAUUGUAAACCGCUGUCGGAGGGGAUGAAGUGUAUCGGGGUACUCCCCGGUAUUUGACAGAGCCUCGGAGGAAGCACGGGCUAAGUUCGUGCCAGCAGCCGCCGUAAGAC
rnacentral:rRNA from 1 species